rnacentral:lncRNA from 1 species
UUUGAGCUUCAGAAAUUUAGAAUACAGUCAAAUCCACUUAAAUGACUUUGAAAGGGUCGGCAAUGUGCAGCCACAGUGAUGGAAUCUGGGACAGUCUCUUCCUUCCACCUCUCUGUGACCUCUGGGAUUUUGGACACAGUUUGAUGCAUCUUCAAGGUAUGCACCUACUUUAGUCACUUUCCCAUCAUGGGACAAGAUACCUGACAUCCACAACUUGAAGGUGGAGGGGUUUAUUUUGACUCAUGGUUUAAGUUCAUGGUCAGCCAGCUCCAAGCCAGAAAUGGCAUGGUGGAAGGGCCUGGCUGAAGAAAACCUGUCCACAUCACGAUGGCCAGGAAGAGAGAAAGAAGAAGCAGCUGAGGAGGGAGAAGCCCCCUUCCAGGACCCACCCCAGUGACCCCCUCUCCUGACCAGGAUCCACCUCCUAACAGCACAGUCAGCUAUGAUUCACCAGUGGAAUGUCAGAAAAUAAAAGAAGCAAUGGUUGCAGAAUGAGCAGACCCAGGGCAUCCAUACCUUGAGCAAGAACAGCACAGCCACUCUGCAAACCUUACCUGGAGUCUGAAGGCCAGAGGGACAGGAAGCAGCAGAGGCUGAUCCCAUUCAGUGCUGAGGGCCACCUGCAAAUCUCCUGGAGGAGUUUCAGGUCCAGACGGUGAACUGUGAUUUUGCCACACAGCUUUUUCUCUUAAUGCAGUCUCUAAACCCAACCACUUGGGUAAAGGGUGCCUCUGUUUCUCAAUAGAGAACACAACAGACCGCCAAAUGAAGCAUUCAAAAGACCUCAGCAACUGUUUGGUUCAGGAAAACAAAGAUAGAAUAGAGAGCAUAAGGAAGAACUACUUGUUCUUCAUCAUCAUCAUCAUCAUCAUCAUCAUCAUCAUCAGUAAUAAUAGGGGUAAUGGGGGUGCUGGGGAUGGAAUCUAGGGCCUCGUGCAUGCUAAGCGCACGCUGUACCCCGAAGCUGAUGCAACCCUAGUAUUGUUCUUAGACUCCCUUAAUGUCUCCCCCAAUUGUACCUUCAUCAACUCUAAUCUACACUUUGGGAAUUUGUGUAUAAUAUUCCUGAGGACAGAGAAUGGGCUUUAUAUGUAUUUUGUCCAGGUUUUCAGCCUCCUGCCUGCUCAUGCCCC